GGAACCUUAUGCAGAAAUCCAGGUUCCAUUCCAUCUAGCCCUUUUCCAGCCUUUUCUCUUCAGUUAUGCACUGUGUCAUGAUGCCAUUGGAAAUAGAAACUGUUCAAAUCGGGAUGAGAGCACCCAUCUCUUCGGAUAGUUAUCUGACUCUCCUUUCCCCUCUACCGUUUCACUCCAUCAGGGCUGUUGACAAUCAGUUGUUUGUGGCAACCUGCUCGCCCGCACGAGACCCUAACGUGAAGUCAGACUACAUGAUCUGGGGCCAUUCGAGCCUCACCGGACCGUUCCCUUCACGACGGGAUUCCGAGGGUCAUUCUUUUCAGAACAGGAUUCUCUCUCCUUUCUCUUCGCGAUUCCCCUCGAAGCUGUUGGAGAUGAGAGAAAAUAAAAGGAAUAAGAACGGGAAAGAGAAUAAGAACACUGCAAACGCUAAUCUAUCGCGCAUACUUCUCCAUCUUGACAGUUUGGAUUCAACCGGGUUGGAAGCUAACUUGUGUUCCAAACUUCGCAGUUCGGUGAAGUGCUUGCAGCAGCUGGGCAUGAGGAGGUGACUGCCAUCGGCGAGAUCGACCUCUCUGCGAUACAAUCUACAAGGUGCAAGGGAGAACCUCCCGUUGGAGACGCAGAGCAGAUGAGACCUGUACCGAUUGGUUGAUGUCCAGAGACAGGGAGAGUCUGCAAGCAACGACGCUUGAGGAAAUGCAAAUGCAAAUGGGUGGGGCUGAACUGCUGAAGAGGGAAGAGGUUCCAGUCAAUGAUACGAUGCUCUGUGCUUGUGCUGCGAGAUGCCUUCCUCUGUCAAGUUUUAGCAUGAGGAUCGUGUCCGACUCCUGUGGUAUCUUGCUCUAGAACCUAGAGAAAGAGUUUGGUCGUCCCUAGUGUAGUACCGACAUGUACGGCCGUUGACAUGUUGGACCUGUGCAUCAAAUGUGUUUUGAGCUGUUCAUUCGUGUCAGUUAGACAAUCUCUGGCAGAGGUGACUAGUCUCUGAUGUUUUUAACAUGCUGUUGAUGCUGUGCUGUAUCGCAAUCCAACUCCCCCUCUCUGA